AGAAGAUAUGGCUCAGAUUGCAUUUAAAAUUUCUUCGUACAAAAGUAUUGUCAAAAAAGAAAUAACGUCUAAGCUGCAACAACAUAAUAGAAUCUUAAAUGAACUUACAAUGGGUAUUGAUGCCACUGACUGCCAGGUCACAGCUGUUAUUACUGAUAUAAGAGAAGACGAAAAAAUGAUCAAACAAACGAUUGAUGAAAUGGUCAAUAAAAUGAUUGAAGACGUAACUGAAAAAACUAGGUUCGAAAAAGAUAAGCUGUCGAAUAUCGUCGAAGCUACAAAAUCAAGAAUACAGAUUCUGACUGCCUUAGAAGAAGAAAGGAAAGAUUUAAAAAUGGAAAGACAAAAUGUGGACUUGUUUAACGACGUGAAAAGUUUGCAAGAGGACAUUUCUGAGAUAGAAAUUGGAGAUCUUCCACCAUUGCCGUCGAUAGAUUACAAACAUGUAAUGCAUGAAAUAAAUUUGGACGGUCAUUUUGGAACUUAUAGUUUCAGGCUUCCUCAAGGAAAUACAUUUGAAGAAUACGAUUUGAUGUUAACACAUGACGGAAGUAUAUCAUAUGUCGGUAGAAAUACCAAAAAAGUUAUAUGUAGUCAACCUUUACCCGACGGAGUAGAGAUGAUCCGAAACAAACAUGGCAGACCAUUUUUUAUAGAUCAUAACGCAGAGGUUACAAGAUUGGGUAUUGAGUUGCAAAAAGGAUGGGAAAUGAUGUUUACGCCUGAGGGAAAACCAUACUAUGUAAAUCACAAAACUAAGAAGACAACAUGGACAUACCCACGACAACAAAUCGAAAAUUAAACCUAUUUAUGUUUCUUAAACUAAGAUGCACGUUUCUAAUAUACUUGCGUGCGUAUUCAUCUCAAUGAGACCGACACUCUGUGUGUAUAUAUUUUUUGGUUUAUUGUUUGUGUCUUUUGAAGGGAACUGAAUAAAUGUCGCAUGUAAGCAUCAGUUCACUCAGGAGUGGGUUUUUUCAGUUUUGUUUUUUUUUAUUUUCUUCAUGCAAGGUAUAUAGUUGAUGUAUUUUGUACAUCUGUAGUUGAUAUAUGACUCUGCGAUCCUAAUUCAUAGAGAAGAAAUCUAACAUUCUUGUCCAAAAAUGAAUGUACAAUUAUGAACGAAGUCCUUUAUGAUCGACUUUUAUCUUUCAUUCAUUAUCAAGAGAUGUGUUAUUUGAUUUUUCUUUCUUACUUAAUAAAAAAUAUUUUACAAGGA